AUAAAAGCUAUGACGAAGACGGUUGAAUUUAUUCGUUCUCAGAGAAUUGACGUUCGGUGUGAGUCAAUAACGUAUAUUUUAAAACACAUCACUUCCGAGCUGAGAAGCUGAAUAACAGUAAGCGUCUACGUAAUUGCUGCGUUAAAGCAAAGGGUUUGUUUGAGCCUGUGAGCGGCACAAUUUGUGCAAUUUGAGUGGUACCGCGGAACAUAUAUUCCGUCUCAAAG
rnacentral:ncRNA from 1 species